UGGGGAAUAUUGGACAAUGGGGGGAACCCUGAUCCAGCUAUGCCGCGUGUGUGAAGAAGGCCUGAGGGUUGUAAAGCACUUUCAGUGGGGAGGAGAGAUUGCAGGUUAAGAGCUAGUGAUUGAGACGUUACCCACAGAAGAAGCACCGGCUAACUCCGUGCCAGCAGCCGCGGUAAUACGGAGGGUGCAAGCGUUAAUCGGAAUUAUUGGGCGUAAAGGGUGCGUAGGUGGUUGAAUAAGUUAUCUGUGAAAACCCUGGGCUUAACUUGGGGGAGAGAGAUAAAACUGUCUGACUAGAGUAUGGGAGAGGGUAGUGGAAUUUCCGGUGUAGCGGUGAAAUGCGUAGAUAUGCGGAGGAACACCGAUGGCGAAGGCAGCCCCCUGGGAUGAUACUGACGCUCAUGCACGAAAGCGUGGGGAGCAAACAGG
rnacentral:rRNA from 1 species